CGGAUGCCUGUGGACCAGACACAGAGGCAGGGCAGUGGGAAGAUGGAGGGAAAUCCAGUAGAAAUGGGGCUCGUGGGAAGGGCUUCUGGCAAGAGACGAUGCCCUUCCAGAAUCCUCAAAGGCAAAAAGAACUGACCAAGCAAUGGCAGUCAGAAAAGCAGGGAAUAGGCAACAAAGGAAGUCAGUAUAGCUUGGAAUUGAACACAGCCCAACAGCAGACCCAUGACGUACUUGAUGAGCCCAACAAAAGAGGAGAUGGUGGCACCAGAUGAGGAAGGUUGCCUCCACCUUCACAGCUGAGCUGGCGUCAAAUGCAUGUCAGGCCAGUGAGAUGGCUCAUCUCAGUUAAAGUCUGUCUGUCUGUCUCUCUGUCUCUCUGUCUAUCUCUCUCUCUAUCUAUCUCUCUAUAUAUCUAUAUCUAUAUAUCUAUAUCUAUAUCUAUAUAUAUUCAUAUUCUUUUAAUUACAUCCUAACUAUGUAGAAAGUUCAAGGCCUGCCAAGGCAACAAGAGACCCUGUCUCAAAAGAAAAUGUGUGUGUGUGUGUGUGUGUGUAUAUAUAUAUACACACAUAUAGUACAUAUUUUAUAUCACAUAUACACACAUGUAUAAAAGAAACUAAAAGUGCUAGCUAUAUCCUAAACAUGCUGAUACAUGACCCUCAGUUUGCCAAACAGCAGCCAAUGGGAAAAUGGAUGGACUAUUUCAAUAAGAGAGCAAACAAGAUCUAAAGCCCCCCUCCCCCAAAGCUCAAAGAAUAUUUGAGCUGAGCUGAUUUCAGCUUGGAGGCUAAGUAGGAAUUUUAAAACACGGGGGUGGGGGGCUCCUUCCAGACAGAGAAGCUUCCAGGCUGGCGUGGGUGUGUGUGUUAAGCGAUUGGACCAGGCCCAGGAGACUAGCCAGUCUUUGGAAGGCAAGCUUCAGAGGCUCUGGGAGCACAAGGAUUAGUUUAAAAGUCAUGUCUAUCUUGUUAUAAGAACAGGGACUGUGAGAAAGAGAAACAAUAGACGACCUAGCGAACAGUGAAGGGGAGCAGCGGGACCAAUUUGGAAGAGUUGAGACUGCAGGAUCACCUGUAGGAGAAGGAGCGAACACAGGUGUGGUUGACCCUCUGGGUUCAUGAAAGAAACCAAUACCAAGUAUGACCAUACAGUCCACACAGCCUCCUGCAUAUUUUCCUGUAGUUCAGGACAGCCUUGAACUCACCAUGGAGCCAAAGAUGACCCUGAAGUUCUGAUACUCCUGUUUGCACCUCCCCGGUACUAGGAUUGCAGGUGUGGGGCACCAUGCCUGGUUGUGUGCAGUGCUGGCAAUGAAGGCCAGGACGCUAUGCAUGCAUCCUUCCAACUGAGUUCCGGCCUUUCCCACAUCCUUUCCAUCACAUGGAGACAUCUUAAAAUGCAGAGCACAGUGUGGGGCUGGAGAGGUGACUCAGAGGUUAAGAACACGGGCUGUGGGCUGGAGAGAUGGCUCAGUGGUUAAGAGCACCUGACUACUCUUCUAGAGGUCCUGAGUUCAAUUCCCAGCAACCACAUGGUGGCUCACAGCUAUCUGUAAAGAGAUCCGAUGCCCUCUUCUGGUGUAUCUGAAGACAGCUACAGUGUACUCAUAUAUAAUAAAUGAAUAAAUCUUUAAAAAAAAAAAAAAGAACACGGGCUGUUCUUCCAGAGCAUCCAGUUGUGAUUCCCAGCACCCCCAGGAUGGCUCACAACCAUCUGUAACUUGUUCCAAUCGCUUCUCGGCCUUUUGGCUAAGAUCAAGUGUAACUUGUUCCAGCUACAUUCCCCAGAACAAAGUGGCUCCUGAGACUAGUCACAUGGGUGAGCUUCCCGUUUGAUUGAGAGACGAUCUCAGUGAAAUAAGGUGGAAGAGAAAUUGAGGAUGACUCCUGACAGCAACUGCAGGCCUUUGUGUGCAUACACAUGUAUCCUCCUUACGUGUGCCCACAGUGUAUAUUACAUAUUCUUAACCAUCCCCUCUGUCCCUCCCUCCCUCCCCCCUCAUAUCCUGGAGAAUGAGCUCUCCUGCUUUAGCUUUCGGGAGCCCCUCCCCCCCACACUAAUGGAUAGUUACAGUGUAGAUCUAAUGGUGGUUCUUCACACUUGAAGAACCCAUACUCAAAGCCAGCACUCACACAGCAGCAAGCCCUUCUCUGGGAAGCCUUCCUGCCUGUCUGCCCAGGGGUCCAAACAUCUGUAUCUCCCUGCUAGAGCUGUUUCAUUCAUACAUCUGGCUCCUACCUCCCCUGCCAAAGAUGUGAAGAAGGGGGCAGUGGCUUCCUGAAACUCAGUCCUGCUGACCUAGUGGGUCCUCACAGCAGAGACACCACCCGGGGCAUUUUUGUAAUACUGAAGAUUCAGGAGUUCAAAGUCAUCCUUAGCUACCUAACAAGUUUGAGCCAACCUGGGCUAUGGGAGAUCCUGUCUCAAAAGUACACAACCAAAUGACUUACCCACUAAGUCAAAGUUUUCUCCUAAAAAUGUGGCCUGGGCCUCUCCUUCUGCUGUCACUAAUAUCCUGACACCUCCUUAGCGCGAGUGUAGGCCAGAACAGAUAACCUCUGUGUUUUCUCUGUGUGGCCACAAGCUGACUUUUUUCAGUGAACGUCAAGAAGUAUUUUGUGAGCACCUUUUAUGUUCAAAGCAAGGUAAAUAAGCCAUGAGGGGAACUGUUGUGAGAGGGCAGAGGACAUGCCCAAGCCAGAUGGGGAGGUGAGCCGGGUUUUCAGGGAAGGGGUGCUCGCUGUAUGGGAGGCCCAGGUUCUGCCCCUUACCCUGUCUUUCCUGCCCUUCUUCAUGACAAAUCUCAGAGCGUCAAUCACCUGUUUGAGAGGCCUACAGGACCAUCUUUGGAGAAACGGGUUUUGGAACCAGCAGAGGCCUAGCUGAGAAGCUGUCCAGAAUUUUAAACCAGAAUUUUUAAAUAUUGUCAUUAAAGUGGGUGUCGUUAAAGUCAGAUCAGCUCUAUCAAAAUUAAGGCGCUGAACAUUUCAAGGCUGUCGCUGACAAUGUUGGGGACAAUGAGAAGGCGGGGCUUUGGUCCACACUGAGGGAGAGCUGGCAGACCAAGGGAACCUUGACCUGACAUGCUGUAAAUCUGUGGUUCUCAAACUGUGGUCACCACCCCUUUGGGGUUUGAACCCCUUCACAGGGGUCACCAAAGACCAUUGGAAAGCACAGGUGUUUACAUUAUGAUCCUAACAGUAGCAAAAUUACAGUUACGAAGUAGCAAAAAAAAAAAUUUAUGGUUUGGGAUCAGCACAACAUGAAGAACUUUGUUAGAGGGUUGCAGCCUUAGGAAGGUUGACAGCCAUUGCUAUAAAGGAAUGUCCCUAGCCUUCAGCUGUCAGAACAAAGGGGGGUAGAAUCCUACAGAGUGACCAGUGGGAUCAGCCCAGUCAAUGGUCACUGACAUCUACACUGCUACCGAAAGCUUCCUGCAGCUGUGGUUUGUGUCACAGACCCUGUGCACCACACGCUGAGCCAUUAACAGUACCCUUCCCUGAAACUUAAAAGUGGCCCCAAGGUUCCCUGUGAGGAUUCUAGUUGUCUGCACUUUAUGGAUGGAGGCUUCAGGCUAUGCAAAGUAGAGGAUUGUGGAAGCUCACAAGCCCAGGCUGUCUGGCUGGAGCUCUGUUUUUAGUCACCUGGUUUCCUCUGCUCAGCUCGUGGCAGAGCAGACAGGAGGUGCAAGGAUGCCUAAGGCAGACUUCUUCCCAGGACUGCUGUAGAAACAGCUACUCAAAUCAGAGUCUAAGGUCAACUGUGGUGCUGCAGAGGAAGGAUCUAGGUCACCAGAAUUCAUGGGCCGGUGGUCCUGGGUGGGUCGUCCUGGGUGGGUAAUACACAGACAACCUGCAACUUGAAACCUGACGAACAGGAAGGAGUAAUUGGGGCUGGGUGUGGCCCACUGGCACAACACUUGCCCAGCUCCUUAGAUGAAGGGAAACGGACUUUUUGGUAAGAUGGGGGGAGCUAUC